GACGAACGCUGGCGGCGUGCUUAACACAUGCAAGUCGAGCGGCGCGGCGAACGGGUGAGUAACGCGUGAGUAACUGCCCCCCUCUCUGGGAUCACAGUUGGAAACGGCUACUAAUACCGGAUAGUGGGGGAUGACUCGCGUCCUAUCAGCUUGUUGGUGGGGUAGUGGCCUACCAAGGCGACGACGGGUAGCAGGCCUGAGCGGGUGACCGGCCACAGUGGGCGGAGAUGCGGCCCAGACGCCUACGGGAGGAAGCAGUGGGGGAUAUUGCACAAUGGGCGAAAGCCUGAUGCAGCGACGCCGCGUGGGGGAUGAAGGCUUUCGGGUUGUAAACCUCUGUCGCUAUCGAACGGGUAGGUGGAGAAGAAGCGCCGGCUAACUACGUGCCAGCAGCCGCGGUAAUUC
rnacentral:rRNA from 1 species